rnacentral:rRNA from 1 species
UACGGGGGGGGCAAGCGUUGUUCGGAAUUACUGGGCGUAAAGGGCUCGUAGGCGGCCAACUAAGUCAGACGUGAAAUCCCCGGGCUUAACCUGGGAACUGCGCUUCUAACUGGCAGGCUUGAGUGUGGCAGAGGGGGGGUGGAAUUCCACGUGUAGCAGUGAAAUGCGUAGAGAUGUGGAGGAACACCGAUGGCGAAGGCAGCCCCCUGGGCUAACCACUGACGCCUCAUGCACGAAAGCGUGGGGAGCAAACAGG